GGGUUGUGAGGUUAAGCGACUAAGCGUACACGGUGGAUGCCCUGGCAGUCAGAGGCGAUGAAGGGCGUGCUAAUCUGCGAUAAGCGCCGGUAAGGUGAUAUGAACCGUUAUAACCGGCGAUACCCGAAUGGGGAAACCCAGUGUGACUCGUCACACUAUCAUUAACUGAAUCCAUAGGUUAAUGAGGCGAACCGGGGGAACUGAAACAUCUAAGUACCCCGAGGAAAAGAAAUCAACCGAGAUUCCCCCAGUAGCGGCGAGCGAACGGGGAGGAGCCCAGAGCCUGAAUCAGCAUGUGUGUUAGUGGAAGCGUCUGGAAAGGCGCGCGAUACAGGGUGACAGCCCCGUACACAAAAGCGCAUGUGCUGUGAGCUCGAUGAGUAGGGCGGGACACGUGGUAUCCUGUCUGAAUAUGGGGGGACCAUCCUCCAAGGCUAAAUACUCCUGACUGACCGAUAGUGAACCAGUACCGUGAGGGAAAGGCGAAAAGAACCCCGGCGAGGGGAGUGAAAAAGAACCUGAAACCGUGUACGUACAAGCAGUGGGAGCCCCACCACUAAGCCAGUGGUGAACUCCACAUACGCAUCCUUUGCUGAGGAUACGGUUAACGGAGCGAAAGCGACGUUCAACCUCAAAAGAAGCAGAGGGGGCUUAGUGGUGGGGUGACUGCGUACCUUUUGUAUAAUGGGUCAGCGACUUAUAUUCUGUAGCAAGGUUAACCG
rnacentral:rRNA from 4 species